GAUAUCAAUUUUAGAUUCAAAGAGAUGAAAUUCUUUGCAAGGGAUGGAAAUUUGCAUUCUCUGAAGACACACGCAAUAUUGCAUCACGCAACGACGAGAGAAUUAGACGAUAAAUUCGGAGAGCAGGAGGAGUUCGGUCUUUGAAGUCUCGGCGGAGAAGUAGACUGGUAACUCCCAGAAUGCCUUGCGGCCUCACAGAAGCCACUGAAACCGUAAGUAAUAGAGAGAAAGCACUUGUGGCGGACCACAGAUCUCUGCUCUCGCAAUCGGGAUACAGCACGCUACAGAUUUUCACGUACUCGGUGAAGAGCCAGGAUAAAGACUGUGCUUCAAAUAAUAAGACUAAGAUGCACAACUUCAAGCACAUUGUGAAUGUAAAUGUAAGGGGGGAAAAAAUUAU